CUUAGUCGUGUGUACAUCAUUGGGAAUGGAGGGAAAUAAAUGACUGGAUGGUCGCUGCUUUUUAAGUUUCAAAUUGACAUUCCAGACAAGCGGUGCCUGAGCCCGUGCCUGUCUUCAGAUCUUCACAGCACAGUUCCUGGGAAGGUGGAGCCACCAGCCUCUCCUUGCCCUAGCAGAUGCUAAUCCAGCGUGCGUCCUGACAGAGGUUGAAGGGGGCUUCUCAAGUCCCAGGUCCAGCUUGGUGUGGUUCAGCUACUCAAGAGACAUCUGCUGCUAAUGGAUGAGCAGUCAACCUGGACGCAGGAAAUCAUUUUUUAUUUGGAAUAACUGGGAGAUGAAACAGGAAGCUCUAUGACACACUUGAUCGAAUAUGACAGACACCGAAAAUCACGACUCAGCCCCCUCCAGCACCUCUACCUGUUGCCCGCCGAUCACAGCCGGAAUGCAGCUGAAAGAUUCCCUGGGGCCUGGUUCCAACCGCCCACUGUGGACUCUGAGGCCUCUGCAUUUGCGGGUGGUCUGCCUGUGA
rnacentral:lncRNA from 1 species